AUGACACAAGGAGUCAUCCUUGUGCACAAGGAGUGGCUUUGUGCCCUCCAGGGGUUGAAGCGCUCACAGUGCUAGAGGACACCAGGAGAGGGCAGCAGAGAGCUGGAGAGACCUUUGGUAGAGGCCCCAGGAAGCAGGCUGAGAGCAAGAACCAGAAGCAGAGACGUUGAAUACCAAAGAGGAAGCUUCUACAAGGGAAUCUGGAAUAUGAAUGACAGCAAAAGGUCAUGCACUGCAGCACAGAAGAAGGCAACCAGGUGAACAGUGAAAAUCUUAAAUUCUUCCACAUGAUAAUAUAAAAAAUAAUAAAAGUUGUUAUGUAUGGAACA
rnacentral:lncRNA from 1 species